UAUUAAGUACCUAAUUAUUAGUAUCUUAAAAAAUAUAUUUAUACAAAAAUCACGAUAAUCAUAAAAGUGGGGAAAUUCUAUAUUCUCGAGUCAAUUCACAAUCUUUAUGGAAGUAUAAACGAUAAGCAUUCAGGAAGAGCGAUAAUAUCAGCAUUAUGCUCUUUCGCGCUGGAAAUGUAGGAAACUGCCCGCUCUACAUUUUUGCUUUUUACUUCAUUUACUUGAAGUUGUACCAACGCCAAGCGAAAUGCUAAAAUGUUGGAAAAAUUAAAUACACUCGGUUAUAUAUUUCCCAUACUUUUUACCUAUAAAUACUUUAUACAUAGUGAAUAUACUUACUCGACAUCGUUCGCACUACUUGUUUAGCGAUGUUCGUAAGUAUCAUAAUGUUCUUUGAGGUUAUGUAUGUAUACUACUCGAUAUCAACAUUACGUAAACAAUACGCGGGGAUUUUUAAUAAUUAUUGAUAAAGUUUAGGACAUUAACUUUGAUGUAAUUGUAAACAUUAUUACAUAUUAUAAUUAAAUGUAAUUUUCAGUUAAGGGUAAGAAAAGAAAUAUAAUAUUUUGUAAAAAUACACUUUAUUAUAAAAUCUGUAUAAAUAAAAUUGUACAAUUUAUCUUGAAAGUAAAAUGACCGAAUACGUCCCUGGAAAAUA